rnacentral:rRNA from 1 species
CCUACGGGUGGCAGCAGUGAGGAAUAUUGGUCAAUGGCCGUAAGGCUGAACCAGCCAAGUCGCGUGAAGGAAGAAGGAUCUAUGGUUUGUAAACUUCUUUUAUAGGGGAAUAAAGGUAUCCACGUGUGGAUAUUUGCAUGUACCCUAUGAAUAAGCAUCGGCUAACCCCGUGCCAGCAGCCGCGGUAAUAGGGGGGAUGCGAGCGUUAUCCGGAUUUAUUGGGGUUAAAGGGUGCCAAGGCGGAAGAGAAAGUCAGCGGUAAAAUUGAGGGGCUCAACCUCUUCGAGCCGUUGAAACUGGUAUUCUUGAGUGAGUGAGAAGUAUGCGGAAUGCGAGGUGUAGCGGUGAAAUGCAUAGAGAUCACGCAGAACUCCGAUUGCGAAGGCAGCAUACCGGCGCUCAACUGACGCUCAUGCACGAAAGUGUGGGUAUCGAACAGGAUUAGAUACCCCAGUAGUC